CACUAUCGUUAACUGAAUACAUAGGUUAACGAGGCGAACCGGGGGAACUGAAACAUCUAAGUACCCCGAGGAAAAGAAAUCAACCGAGAUUCCCCCAGUAGCGGCGAGCGAACGGGGAGCAGCCCAGAGUCUGAAUCAGCUUGUGUGUUAGUGGAACGGUCUGGAAAGUCCGACGGUACAGGGUGAUAGUCCCGUACACCAAAAUGCACAGGCUGUGAACUCGAAGAGUAGGGCGGGACACGUGGUAUCCUGUCUGAAUAUGGGGGGACCAUCCUCCAAGGCUAAAUACUCCUGACUGACCGAUAGUGAACCAGUACCGUGAGGGAAAGGCGAAAAGAACCCCGGCGAGGGGAGUGAAAAAGAACCUGAAACCGUGUACGUACAAGCAGUGGGAGCACCUUCGGGUGUGACUGCGUACCUUUUGUAUAAUGGGUCAGCGACUUAUAUUCUGUAGCAAGGUUAACCGUAUAGGGGAGCCGCAGGGAAACCGAGUCUUAACUGGGCGUUAAGUUGCAGGGUAUAGACCCGAAACCCGGUGAUCUAGCCAUGGGCAGGUUGAAGGUUGGGUAACACUAACUGGAGGACCGAACCGACUAAUGUUGAAAAAUUAGCGGAUGACUUGUGGCUGGGGGUGAAAGGCCAAUCAAACCGGGAGAUAGCUGGUUCUCCCCGAAAGCUAUUUAGGUAGCGCCUCGUGAAUUCAUCUUCGGGGGUAGAGCACUGUUUCGGCUAGGGGGUCAUCCCGACUUACCAACCCGAUGCAAACUACGAAUACCGAAGAAUGUUAUCACGGGAGACACACGGCGGGUGCUAACGUCCGUCGUGAAGAGGGAAACAACCCAGACCGCCAGCUAAGGUCCCAAAGUCAUGGUUAAGUGGGAAACGAUGUGGGAAGGCACAGACAGCCAGGAUGUUGGCUUAGAAGCAGCCAUCAUUUAAAGAAAGCGUAAUAGCUCACUGGUCGAGUCGGCCUGCGCGGAAGAUGUAACGGGGCUAAACCAUGCACCGAAGCUGCGGCAGCGACACUAUGUGUUGUUGGGUAGGGGAGCGUUCUGUAAGCCUGCGAAGGUGACCUGUGAGGGUUGCUGGAGGUAUCAGAAGUGCGAAUGCUGACAUAAGUAACGAUAAAGCGGGUGAAAAGCCCGCUCGCCGGAAGACCAAGGGUUCCUGUCCAACGUUAAUCGGGGCAGGGUGAGUCGACCCCUAAGGCGAGGCCGAAAGGCGUAGUCGAUGGGAAACAGGUUAAUAUUCCUGUACUUGGUGUUACUGCGAAGGGGGGACGGAGAAGGCUAUGUUAGCCGGGCGACGGUUGUCCCGGUUUAAGCAUGUAGGCUGAUUGUCCAGGCAAAUCCGGAUAAUCAAGGCUGAGGUGUGAUGACGAGGCACUACGGUGCUGAAGUAACAAAUGCCCUGCUUCCAGGAAAAGCCUCUAAGCAUCAGGUAACAUUAAAUCGUACCCCAAACCGACACAGGUGGUCAGGUAGAGAAUACCAAGGCGCUUGAGAGAACUCGGGUGAAGGAACUAGGCAAAAUGGUGCCGUAACUUCGGGAGAAGGCACGCUGGUGUGUAGGUGAAGUCCCUGCGGAUGGAGCUGAGACCAGUCGAAGAUACCAGCUGGCUGCAACUGUUUAUUAAAAACACAGCACUGUGCAAACACGAAAGUGGACGUAUACGGUGUGACGCCUGCCCGGUGCCGGAAGGUUAAUUGAUGGGGUUAUCCGUAAGGAGAAGCUCUUGAUCGAAGCCCCGGUAAACGGCGGCCGUAACUAUAACGGUCCUAAGGUAGCGAAAUUCCUUGUCGGGUAAGUUCCGACCUGCACGAAUGGCGUAAUGAUGGCCAGGCUGUCUCCACCCGAGACUCAGUGAAAUUGAACUCGCUGUGAAGAUGCAGUGUACCCGCGGCAAGACGGAAAGACCCCGUGAACCUUUACUAUAGCUUGACACUGAACAUUGAGCCUUGAUGUGUAGGAUAGGUGGGAGGCUUUGAAGCGUGGACGCCAGUCUGCGUGGAGCCAACCUUGAAAUACCACCCUUUAAUGUUUGAUGUUCUAACGUUGGCCCCUUACCGGGGUUGCGGACAGUGUCUGGUGGGUAGUUUGACUGGGGCGGUCUCCUCCCAAAGCGUAACGGAGGAGCACGAAGGUUAGCUAAUCCUGGUCGGACAUCAGGAGGUUAGUGCAAUGGCAUAAGCUAGCUUGACUGCGAGCGUGACGGCGCGAGCAGGUGCGAAAGCAGGUCAUAGUGAUCCGGUGGUUCUGAAUGGAAGGGCCAUCGCUCAACGGAUAAAAGGUACUCCGGGGAUAACAGGCUGAUACCGCCCAAGAGUUCAUAUCGACGGCGGUGUUUGGCACCUCGAUGUCGGCUCAUCACAUCCUGGGGCUGAAGUAGGUCCCAAGGGUAUGGCUGUUCGCCAUUUAAAGUGGUACGCGAGCUGGGUUUAGAACGUCGUGAGACAGUUCGGUCCCUAUCUGCCGUGGGCGCUGGAGAAUUGAGGGGGGCUGCUCCUAGUACGAGAGGACCGGAGUGGACGCAUCACUGGUGUUCGGGUUGUCAUGCCAAUGGCACUGCCCGGUAGCUAAAUGCGGAAGAGAUAAGUGCUGAAAGCAUCUAAGCACGAAACUUGCCCCGAGAUGAGUUCUCCCUGAGACUUUAAGUCUCCUGAAGGAACGUU
rnacentral:rRNA from 1 species